rnacentral:piRNA from 1 species
UGCCAGCUUGUCUCACGAAUUAACCAUC